AGAACUUUGGUGUCAUCUGUGCUUUGUAUAACUUCGAGUGACUCCCCAGGUUUUAUCUGCAGAUCUCUCGCUCCCCACUUUUUAGAGGUUAAGGAGGACGCAACUUUAGUUGAAUAUAGAACUCGAAUUUCACCGUCGUACUGAAAAAGGAAUGGACCCCUCCCUUGGGAACACGUCUUUCUAUAUUUCACCUAUGAGAAAUUUCCAAACGAUGACUGGCCUAAGCCAAAUAUUGCCAAAUGGAAUUAGGAGCCCACAGGUGAGAGAUUUCAAACUUUAAGAAGAGCCUGCCUUUCUCGCUGUCAACUGCCUACCAAAGUACCAUGGGCGUUUUCCACAGGCCGUUUAGCACCCAGCCAUGCAUGAUUUGGACAGCCCUGGCGAGACCCUGCUGAUGAAAUCGGAAGAUGAUCCUUUACUUACUUCAGGCGGAAGACAGUAGCUCAGUGUCUUUCUUCUGAUGUCAAAUGUUGUUUUAGGGCCAAGGAGAUAGCUCAGUAUGAUUUAGUGUUUGCUGUGCAAGCACAGGAUCUGAGUUCAAAUCCCCAGUGACUACUUAAAAAGGGCAUGAAGGCAAUGUUACACAGCAUGUUCAGUUCACCCAGGGAGGUCAAGGAGAGGUGACAAGAUGGAUUAUUGGGUGAAGAAGCUUGCUGCCAGUGACAUCAAAAGUGCCCUGUAUCUUCAGUGAUGAGACUAUGCCAUUCUGUCUGUAAUGUUUAUAGCACUCUCUCUCCAUGCUUGGUUAUUCAUCCACAGGUAUGGUCUAUUCAUCCAACUAGAAGUUAUUUGUAAUAGAGACAAAACCCCAUGUAUGUAAUUCCUUUUGUAUUUUUGAGUAUAAACACAUAGUCGGGAGUCACUAAAUGUUGAAUAGGUCUAUGAAUGAGUAAAUGGUUUUCUGGGGGAAAGAAAGAGGAAAGUCAACCUCUGCUAGAGACAUCCACUCUUACUUUGAACCAUAGAGUUUUGCUAUACUAAAUUAUAUUAGGCAAAUUAUUGGAUCUAGAUCUAUAAUUUUCCUACCCUGGCAUAAAUAAGAAGCAUGCUUAGUAGACGGGCUCUAACAGUCUAGUAGAGGGAUUCUGCUUUCAAGUGGUCUUGGAUAAGCUCAGAGAUCUUGCUUAGAACACCAGAGAGUUCGUGUGCAAGUGACCUAUGGGCACUUUGUGUCCUAGGAGUGAACUUUGUUAGUUUGGUUUUAUUUUUAAAUUACGUAUUUUCCUCAAUUACAUUUCCAAUGCUAUCCCAAAAGCCCCCCAUACCCUCCCCUCCCACCCAUUCCCACUUUUUGGCCCUGGCGUUCCCCUGUAUUGGGGCAUAUAAAGUUUGCGUGUCCAAUGGGCCUCUCUUUCCAGUGAUGGCCGCUUAGGCCAUCUNNNNNNNNNNNNNNNNNNNNNNNNNNNNNNNNNNNNNNNNNNNNNNNNNNNNNNNNNNNNNNNNNNNNNNNGCUCUUUGGAUACUUUCUCUAGCUCCUCCAUUGGGAGCCCUGUGAUCCAUCCAAUAGCUGACUGUGAGCAUCCACUUCUGUGUUUGCUAGACCCCGAGGAGUGAACUUUGUUGUCUCCUCUUGUGGACUGGAGAUCAUUCAGUCAGGUAACAGUAACAUUGCUAGUCAGAUAGAACUAUAAAUUAUGACAUAAAGACAAGUUUUAAGUAGGUUUUUCAAAAUAACUAAAAAACAAACAAACAAACAAAACAAAACAAAACAAAAAAGCUGGAAAUAACAUUCACCCAUUUUAUUUUACUGUACUGAGGAUAGCAGAUCUUAAAUUCUGAUUGGCAGCAUCAGCAUCAACUGAGAACCUAUGAGGACCAAAGCUCAGGCCUAUUGCAGACCCACUGAGUCAGACACGCAGAGUCUGAUCCCGCAGCUGCCUUCUGCAGGUUUUCACGAGUAAGAUGCACACUGAGAUCUGAGCAGCGGUUCUGUAGUCCAGCGUGAGGAUGUUCGGAUUCAAGCCUCUGGGGCUGGAGCAACUCCAUGAAGCGCUUGCCCUGCAAAAGUGACAACUGGCUGCCUGAACCCCACCACUGCCCGCUCUCCCUUCUUAGACAAUACCUAUUUUGACUCUUUAGUUUUCUUUCCAAUUUUUAUAAUUUAAUUUUACUUUUAGAAUUUCAUAUAUAAAUACUGUAUUUAAACUAUUUUUCAUCCCUCUCCAGCUUCUCCAAUAGCCUCCCCAUUUUAUGCAUUGUCAUUAUUAUCAGGUAUGCAUGAUGUGUGCACGGGAGGGUAGAGAAAACUUUCAGGACACAGUUUUCUCCUUCUAUCAUGAGAUCCGGGUACUAAACCCAAGUUCUCAGGCUUCUGUGGCAAGCCCUUUCCUCAUGGGUCUGUCUUACUAGUCCACACUUUUUGCUCUUAACCAUACAGUAUCAACUGUUUUCUGAUAUUUUUGGUUAGGAUUUCAUUCUCUGAGAGUUCCUCUAUCACUCCUUGCCCAUACUGCAAGGGGCAGGACAUUUAUGAACGUCUGUAAUUGAAGUAAGAGAAUGCAGAAAUUUUGAGGGACAGAAGCUCUUUUAGAAGGCUACAGGAUCAUCCUGUUAGAAACUGGAUGAAUGGGUUGCUGACAUGGGGGUGGCGGAGCUGAAGGGGAUGGUGAAGUCAGAUAACUAGGAGAGGUAUAUUCAAAGACUCGGGACCAGAAGGUAGCAUGUACCCUCUGAUGUAGACAUCAGUAUGAUAUGGCAGAAUAAAUGCUCUACCAUUUGUGUAACAGUUGACUAAAGACUGAAUCACAGCACCCUAGAGUUAAAAGGACUCAUCAAUUUGUUGUUCCAGUAGUUUUCAAUGAUGUUUGUUGUAAACAGUGCGAUUGUUUUUUUUUUUUUUUCUAGAGUCACUUACUUCUGCACUGGACUUUGAAAUACAGCGGAAGAAAAUAAUUUAGGGUUCAGGAUGAUAUAACACAGGCUAACCCUUAAAAGCAUCCUCCAUUCUUUCCAAAGAUAAGAGGUCCAAAGUCUGGCUAAGAGUAAUGGUUCACUCAGACACAAAGCUUAAAACCACAAGAUCUGGGAUAAGAACCUGUUUUUCUUAUUUAAGGUUGAAGAGGUUUCUUUGUUUGUUUGUUUAGCAUGCCAUGAAGCCAAAUAUGCUUUUUUCAAAAAUGCAGUUUGUCUCAAAGCCUCUGUAGGUAAACAUCUCCCUUUAGUGAGCCUUACAGCAUCUCAAUGAUGAAAGAAGCUAUGAGAUCAAGC
ensembl:antisense Gm2245 predicted gene 2245